rnacentral:rRNA from 1 species
GAUAAACGCUGGCGGCGUGCCUUAUGCAUGCAAGUCGUACGCACCGCAAGGUGAGUGGCGAACGGGUGAGUAACACGUAGGAACCUGCCCGGAAGUGGGGGAUAACUGUCCGAAAGGAUAGCUAAUACCGCAUACGGUCUUCGGACCAAAGCUUAAUUGCGCUUUCGGAGGGGCCGUGCGGCGGAUUAGCUAGUUGGUGGGGUAACGGCCUACCAAGGCGACGAUCCGUAGCUGGUCUGAGAGGAUGGUCAGCCACACUGGGACUGAGAUACGGCCCAGACUCCUACGGGAGGCAGCAGCAAGGAAUUUUGCGCAAUGGACGAAAGUCUGACGCAGCAACGCCGCGUGGGGGAUGAAGGCC